UACAGGGGGUGCAAACGUUGCUCGGAAUUAUUGGGCGUAAAGCGCGCGUAGGCGGCUACUUAAGUCGGAUGUGAAAGCCCCUGGCUCAACUGGGGAAGUGCACCCGAAACUGAGUAGCUUGAGUGCAAAAGAGGGCCGCGGAAUUCCCGGUGUAGAGGUGAAAUGCGCAGAUAUCAGGAGGAACACCGGUGGCGAAGGCGGAUCUCUGGGCCUUACCUGACGCUGAGGCGCGAAAGCUAGGGGAGCAAACAGG
rnacentral:rRNA from 1 species